rnacentral:rRNA from 1 species
GACGAACGCUGGCGGCGUGCUUAACACAUGCAAGUCGAACGGUGAAGCGCCUUCCUUUUUGGUGGGUGUGGAUGAGUGGCGAACGGGUGAGUAACACGUGAGUAACCUGCCCCCUUCUUCUGGAUAACCGCAUGAAAGUGUGGCUAAUACGGGAUAUUCUGGGUCUGUCGCAUGAUGGGUCUGGGAAAGAUAUUGUUUCGGUGGGGGAUGGGCUCGCGGCCUAUCAGCUUGUUGGUGGGGUGAUGGCCUACCAAGGCGGUGACGGGUAGCCGGCCUGAGAGGGUGGACGGUCACACUGGGACUGAGACACGGCCCAGACUCCGACGGGAGGCAGCAGGGGGGAAUAUUGCACAAUGGGCGCAAGCAUGAUGCAGCGACGCCGCGGGAGGGAUGGAGGCCUUCGGGUUGUGAACCUCUUUCGCCAGUGAAGCAGGCCUGCCUCGUUUGUGGGUGGGUUGACGGUAGCUGGAUAAGAAGCGCCGGCUAACUACGUG